UACGUAGGGGGCAAGCGUUUGUCCGGAUUUAUUGGGCGUAAAGAGCGUGUAGGCGGUCUGGUAGGUCCGUUGUGAAAACUCGAGGCUCAACCUCGAGACGCCGAUGGAAACCAUCAGACUAGAGUCCGGAAGAGGAGAGUGGAAUUCCUGGUGUAGCGGUGAAAUGCGCAGAUAUCAGGAAGAACACCCGUGGCUAAGGCGGCUCUCUAGUACGGUACUGACGCUGAGACGCGAAAGCGUGGGGAGCGAACAGG
rnacentral:rRNA from 1 species